UACGGAGGGGGCUAGCGUUGUUCGGAAUUACUGGGCGUAAAGCGCACGUAGGCGGCUUUGCAAGUCAGAGGUGAAAGCCCGGGGCUCAACCCCGGAAUUGCCUUUGAGACUGCAUCGCUAGAAUUGUGGAGAGGUAAGUGGAAUUCCGAGUGUAGAGGUGAAAUUCGUAGAUAUUCGGAAGAACACCAGUGGCGAAGGCGACUUACUGGACACAUAUUGACGCUGAGGUGCGAAAGCGUGGGGAGCGAACAGG
rnacentral:rRNA from 1 species